AUGAACGCUAGCUACAGGCUUAACACAUGCAAGUCGAGGGGCAGCAUGGUCUUAGCUUGCUAAGGCCGAUGGCGACCGGCGCACGGGUGAGUAACACGUAUCCAACCUGCCGUCUACUCUUGGACAGCCUUCUGAAAGGAAGAUUAAUACAAGAUGGCAUCAUGAGUCCGCAUGUUCACAUGAUUAAAGGUAUUCCGGUAGACGAUGGGGAUGCGUUCCAUUAGAUAGUAGGCGGGGUAACGGCCCACCUAGUCUUCGAUGGAUAGGGGUUCUGAGAGGAAGGUCCCCCACAUUGGAACUGAGACACGGUCCAAACUCCUACGGGAGGCAGCAGUGAGGAAUAUUGGUCAAUGGGCGAGAGCCUGAACCAGCCAAGUAGCGUGAAGGAUGACUGCCCUAUGGGUUGUAAACUUCUUUUAUAAAGGAAUAAAGUCGGGUAUGCAUACCCGUUUGCAUGUACUUUAUGAAUAAGGAUCGGCUAACUCCGUGCCAGCAGCCGCGGUAAUACGGAGGAUCCGAGCGUUAUCCGGAUUUAUUGGGUUUAAAGGGAGCGUAGAUGGAUGUUUAAGUCAGUUGUGAAAGUUUGCGGCUCAACCGUAAAAUUGCAGUUGAUACUGGAUAUCUUGAGUGCAGUUGAGGCAGGCGGAAUUCGUGGUGUAGCGGUGAAAUGCUUAGAUAUCACGAAGAACUCCGAUUGCGAAGGCAGCCUGCUAAGCUGCAACUGACAUUGAGGCUCGAAAGUGUGGGUAUCAAACAGGAUUAGAUACCCUGGUAGUCCACACGGUAAACGAUGAAUACUCGCUGUUUGCGAUAUACGGCAAGUGGCCAAGCGAAAGCGUUAAGUAUUCCACCUGGGGAGUACGCCGGCAACGGUGAAACUCAAAGGAAUUGACGGGGGCCCGCACAAGCGGAGGAACAUGUGGUUUAAUUCGAUGAUACGCGAGGAACCUUACCCGGGCUUAAAUUGCAGAUGAAUUACGGUGAAAGCCGUAAGCCGCAAGGCAUCUGUGAAGGUGCUGCAUGGUUGUCGUCAGCUCGUGCCGUGAGGUGUCGGCUUAAGUGCCAUAACGAGCGCAACCCUUGUUGUCAGUUACUAACAGGUUCCGCUGAGGACUCUGACAAGACUGCCAUCGUAAGAUGUGAGGAAGGUGGGGAUGACGUCAAAUCAGCACGGCCCUUACGUCCGGGGCUACACACGUGUUACAAUGGGGGGCACAGAGGGCCGCUACCACGCGAGUGGAUGCCAAUCCCCAAAACCUCUCUCAGUUCGGACUGGAGUCUGCAACCCGACUCCACGAAGCUGGAUUCGCUAGUAAUCGCGCAUCAGCCACGGCGCGGUGAAUACGUUCCCGGGCCUUGUACACACCGCCCGUCAAGCCAUGGGAGCCGGGGGUGCCUGAAGUGCGUAACCGCGAGGAGCGCCCUAGGGUAAAACUGGUGACUGGGGCU
rnacentral:rRNA from 1 species